ensembl:lncRNA
UUUUCAGAGGCGCUCGGCCACACAGCCACAGGAAUGGCAAACAAGGCUUUCAGGAGGGCUCUGGCUACCCGGCUCGCCUUUCACACGCCAGGAAGUGGCAUUCAGACCCAGGAGCUGCAUCUACAUGUCCCACUCACUCCUCCAGAAACACCUCCGUCUGGAUACAUGAGUCAAGACUGCAAGUUCUCUGUUGCUCCAUAGGGGUGUUGAGGAGCCAAUGCAACUGGGGAAGAGAGAGAGAGGCCAGCCAAGCCAAAACACUGGAGGUCCCUGACGCUGCAGGCAGAUGUGAUGGCGUCGUCCACAGGUGUCGUGCAAUGGCCGGGCCAGUGGCUGUGCCAAAACAGGAUGUCUGGAGCUCGCUAGGAUUGGGACUUCCUCCUGGAGCGCAGUGGUCCAAGGGUUCUGCACGCUCCCAGAGCGGAGGAACACAUUACAGAUCUGGCAACG